AUCUGAUCACCAUCCAGGCCAAGACGUUGAAUAUUUGCAGUGCCCCAAAAGUUUCCUUAGGCCCUUUCCAGUUAGCAUCACCCUCAGCAUCAAGAACACUGCCUGGCAUACAAUGGACACUCAAUCAAUAUUUGUUGAAAGAAUGAACAAUGGAAUGAUUGGUCGUAUUAACCAUCAUGUCUGUUGACAAACCAAACUUGACCAGGUGAGAAUGUGAAGACUCACAGUAGUGGGGAAGUCGUGUCUUCACGUCCAUGCAGCUCAGGAGUGGGAGAACCUGGAUUUGAGUGAGUCCUGGUUGUCGCCUUGAGAACCACUGUAUUUUCAGAGACUUGCCUUGCCUCUCAGAGGUGAGAGCCACCUCCAUUUCAACACGGCCAUCGCUGGAGCUGAGGCAGCCUCCUAGUCGCCCCAAGCAGGACAGAUGCUCUUUGGCUCCUUUGGGUUGGGAGCACAGAUAUCAACUGGACAUGAAGGGCUGGGACAGGAGACAGCCUGUGUGGAGAGGAGUUUCUUCCAGGAGGUGAUGGAAAAACUGAAGCCCAGGAAGGGAAAGGAGGAUACCCAAUGACACAGUUUGGUGCUAUUAAAAAGAA